CAGCCGCCGCGGGAAUACGAAGGGGGCUAGCGUUGCUCGGAAUUACUGGGCGUAAAGGGAGCGUAGGCGGACUGUUUAGUCAGAGGUGAAAGCCCAGGGCUCAACCUUGGAAUUGCCUUUGAUACUGGCAGUCUUGAGUACGGAAGAGGUAUGUGGAACUCCGAGUGUAGAGGUGAAAUUCGUAGAUAUUCGGAAGAACACCAGUGGCGAAGGCGACAUACUGGUCCGUUACUGACGCUGAGGCUCGAAAGCGUGGGGAGCAAACAGGAUUAGAUACCCCUGUAGUCCCUGUCUCUUAUAA
rnacentral:rRNA from 1 species